UGCCAACAGCAGCACCUUGGCCAGUUCAGCCUUUCUAAAGCUCCCAGCUCACAAUGCUGGUGACACCAUCAGCUGUGGGGUUCAGUUCUGUUUAUGCCUGUGCACAGCCAGGCUCCAGAUAUGAGGGAUGUAUCAAGCCCAUCUCUUUCCACCAACAGGAAGCUGCAUGCACCACCUGACAAUUGGCACAACAAAGACUGGCAAGAGAUACUCAAAUAUUUAUGAGCAACAUAAUGACAGGAAACCAUGGAAGACACUGCUAGCUACAAAUACCAUUAUGCAUUUGAUUCCUGAACAAGCCUUCAGAUUUCGCUAUGAGCACUGAACAUUUUGGGUUCCCAGAAACAUAGCCUCAAAAAUCAGCUAAUCAAGCUAGCAAAGUUAAGGCCUAGAAGCUGAACAUAUCCUAGAGAUGAUGGCUUCAAAAACGCAUCUGAAGACACAGGAUGAGCCUCAAGAUGUCAACUUCAUAAAAAAAGUUUUCUACUCCUCCUUUAUGGUUAGAUCUUUAUUGGUGAAAUGCAAAUACUUCUGGAGGCCAGAAAUAUAUUUUUGACAGUUCAACAUCACAUUAACUCUUGGGAGUCCUAGCAAAAGGAGCUUUCCUUCUGCAGAGAGCGAGUGAUCUGUGCGCCUCAAAGAGUAUUCUGUAAAUAAAUUUAA